CUCAUUUGCUUCCAUCCUGUGAACCUCUCAGUGUGUUUCAGAACACCAGGGUCUGAACAGAGAAGCUUCAGAAUACUUUCUCCGACUAGAGAACUUUUUUAUGGUGGGAGGAAAAAAUGUUGCCAGUCCCACUUCACAGACACCUGGAAUUCAUGAAGUCUGAGGACUUCUUUCAUUUUACUUUCAACUAAAAGCUCUAGCACGAAACAGCAAAGGCUCACAGAACUAAAGAUCAGGAGGUGGCCCUGUGAGAGGGUGUUCAGCCUGGAUCCCUGGUGAAACUCCAUCAUUGAGCAGCAUAUCUACUUCAGAAAGCGUGGAAAGAAAAGAGCCUGGUGGGAAAAGUCUAUCAAGUGAUAGUGACGUGCCCUUAUGGAAAAAAUUCUGGGAAUUCAACCCAGCCAGCAAGACGGAGGGCCUCCCAAAUGCUGCGAUCUGCUCCGUGCUGCUCUGCUGGGCCGUCACUGCCCCCUGUGCGUUCCUGCGGGCGAGGUCUUCUCCCAGAAGCGAGACAAUGAACAGGACAGAAGUGAAUUCAUUGGCCAGACCCUCAAACUGUUGGUGAAGAGGAACGUUUCCUUGGAAUUAAGCUGCCGCUAAGUAAAGGUCAAGGCACGGGGCAGCUGGAUGUCCGUGUGGAUCCUGCAAAUGGAGAGGCUCUGCUGUGGAAACAGAAUGGAACUUAACCUCAGCUAAAACAGUGGUGGAGAGCAGAGUGAUUUUCUAAAUAAUUAAGUUUUUUCUUUUACAUACAUUAAGCCAUACACACAGCCUGAGGCAUUGACAUUUUAAUUAUUUUAAUCAGUCUUUGAUGACCUCCUAGGGUUUGAGUUUUUUUUUGUUGUUGUUGUUUUUUCUAAUGGAGUCUGGCUCUGUAGCCCAGGCUGGAGUGCAAUGGCGCGAUCUCGGGAUCUCGGCUCACUGCAGCCUCCACCUCCCGGGUUCAAGCGAUUCUCCUGCCACAGCCUCCCAAGUAGCUGGGCCUACAGGCAUGCACCACCAUGCCCUGCUAAUUGUUUGUAUUUUUAGUAGAGACAGGGUUUCACCAUGUCAGCCAGGAUGGUCUUGAUCUCCUGACCUCAUGAUCGGCCCACCUCGGUUUGAGCUUUUUUGAGGAACCCAGUCAUGAGUUCCAACUGCUCAUCUUUGCCUGACCCUCCAGCAAGGUCCUGCUGUGCUAGUUCUUUUUCCCCCUACAUUUUCCCCAGAAGACUCAGAGCCUACUGUGUAGCAGGCACUGCACCAGGCACUUUGCUAUGUUUCCUCUUUAAAUCUUCUCAGUAACCCUAUGAAGGAGGUCUCCUUUUACAGUAGAGACAGCAGAGGUGCCAAGAGAUUAAGGAGGUUGCUUAAGGCCAAGGAGCAAGGACCUGGCAAACUUGAGAUGGCUCUUUGGAUCUGUACAUCUGUGCACUUGUCUUUGCAAAAAUGUUCAUUGGCCACCACCAAUUUUCUUACCUGACUAUAGGCCAAAGAAUGCACGUUUUGCAUAUUCUGCAUAAAGUUUACAUUCAAUUUCUUUUCCAAAUUUUUUUUAAAAGACCUUAGGGAAACAUCACAAAUUUUAUUUCUUUUACGUUUUUCUCUCAUCGAAUCUCUUUCUUUCCCUCUUUGACAGCUUUAUUGCAUAGGUUUAAGUAGUCUCACUACCUGCGAGAAUUUGAUAAGAAAUCAGAGAUAAUAAAUCUCAAAUUGAGAAAGCAUUCAUGGCCCAUUAGUCAUUUUCUAAGUACAUAGUUACUCCUGGAAAUGCCAUCAUCCUGGAACCUACUUCUUCACAGAUGAGACCAUAUGAGCGAAUCCAUAAAAGCAUUUUUGGCCCUGAACACUCAGAGGAGAAGUAUGAUGGGGUGAUGCAGAAAUGUUCUUAGAAUUAUCAACAUUUGUUACUGUAGAAUAGCCAUAGUUUUUUACAUUGGGAAUACUCAUGUGCCAGAAGAAAAAGAAUGGUUAUUAUUGUACAACACAAGAAAGAUAUUUAAAAUAGAAGGGGAUCCGACUAUAUCUUCUAUACAUUAUCUUGGCUACUAAUGCAACUUCAUGGUUGGGUUGUGAGAAGCUAUGCUUGGUCUUGUUCUUUAAUAUUUAAUAGAACUCAGAUUUUUAAAACUGAGGAGUUAAAAUGGGUCCAAGUAAAAUAAAAUCAAAUAGAGUAACAUCUUUAUUGCAAAAGAUUAUUUGUAAUGCAGACACAUGCACGUGCACGCGUACACACACACACACAUACAUUUUUACAGCUUUAUUAAGUGGGAAAUGUUAUCAAGGCAUGACUAGAUCCUUGUUGUGACUCUUUUGGUUUUAAUCUUACACUGUUAAACUCACAAGAAACUCUCUAUGUGCCCAUUUUAAAGGAGGGGCAGUGGUGAAGGUGAGAGGGGUUGAUAGUCACUGAUUGCUAACUGGCAAAGUUGCGUGAAUUCUCUGUUUACAUUUUCUAAAUGUCAGCAAUGUGCCCAAUUCUCUGUUCUGAAUGCUGCUCCCAGCUGGCUGCUUUACAAGCACAGGGUGUACAUGAGUAACAGAGACAAUCUCAGAAAACCUUGGGAAGUCCAGUUCCUCCAGCUGGCCCUCAGGGUCAUUGAAAGUGAAGGCUAUAGAGCCAAGGGCAGAAAGCAAGGGAUGGAGAAGGCUGAUUCAGUGCAUUCUGGGAAAUUCACAGGGGUGACUUACUAAAUGUGGUACUCUGUCUUGUAGGUGCCUUACCAAAAAAAUUAAGUAAAUCUAAUCCCUUCCACCUCCAAGGUCACCAGCUUAUUGUAAUGCCAGUCACCUGUACUUGUGUUUUAUUUACUUCCUUCUUUCAAGUGUUCCCAUGUUGAACAGUGUACAUAUCUUGAUCAUGCAUUUCUUCACUGGUUUAAAAAGCAGGUGUUGGGAACCAGGGGCUACAUGCCUUUUAUUAGGUUGGUGCAAAAUGAAUUGUGCUUCUUGCCGUUACAUUUAAUGUCAAAAAUCGCAAAAUUACUUUUGCACAAACCUAAUACAGUCUUGCAGUAUAAGUCCAAGGUAGCUCAUGUUCCUCUGUGUGUGUGCGCGCACGCGUGUGCGUGUGUGUUGGAGGUGCAUGUGUGUGUGUACCUACAAAUAUAAGAGUUUGCUAAUACAGCUUUGGAACAACCAAAGAGAGUUCUCAAGGCCAUUUAAACCUCAGGGAAGUGAAUUUCCUCUGCAAACAGGUAACCAAAACAAAUCUGAA
rnacentral:lncRNA from 10 species